rnacentral:rRNA from 1 species
CCUACGGGGAGCAGCAGUGAGGAAUAUUGGUCAAUGGACGAGAGUCUGAACCAGCCAAGUAGCGUGAAGGAUGACUGCCCUAUGGGUUGUAAACUUCUUUUAUAUGGGAAUAAAAUGUUCCACGUGUGGGAUUUUGUAUGUACCAUAUGAAUAAGGAUCGGCUAACUCCGUGCCAGCAGCCGCGGUAAUACGGAGGAUCCGAGCGUUAUCCGGAUUUAUUGGGUUUAAAGGGAGCGUAGGUGGAUUGUUAAGUCAGUUGUGAAAGUUUGCGGCUCAACCGUAAAAGUGCAGUUGAAACUGGCAGGCUGGAGUACAGGAGAGGUGGGCGGAAUUCGUGGUGUAGCGGUGAAAUGCUUAGAUAUCACGAAGAACUCCGAUUGCGAAGGCAGCUCACUGGACUGCAACUGACACUGAGGCUCGAAAGUGUGGGUAUCAAACAGGAUUAGAUACCCCUGUAGUC